rnacentral:siRNA from 1 species
AGUGACAACAUGAAGAAUGAAGGA